rnacentral:rRNA from 1 species
AGCUCCAAUAGCGUAUAUUAAAGUUGUUGCGGUUAAAAAGCUCGUAGUUGGAUUUCUGCCGAGGACGACCGGUCCGCCUUCUGGGUGAGUAUCUGGAUCGGCCUGGGCAUCUUCUUGGGGGGGCGUUGCUGCACUUGACUGUGUGGCGCGGUGCCCAGGGCUUUUACUUUGAGGAAAUUAGAGUGUUUCAAGCAGGCUCACGUCUUGAAUACAUUAGCAUGGAAUAAUAAGAUAGGACCUUGGUUUUAUUUUGUUGGUUUCUAGAAUUGAGGUAAUGGUUAAUAGGGAUAGUUGGGGGCAUUCGUAUUUAACUGUCAGAGGUGAAAUUCUUGGAUUUGUUAAAGACAGACUACUGCGAAAGCAUUUGCCAAGAAUGUUUUCA